UACUCUCCCAAGGCGGGAUCCCCAACCCUGAAGCUGGAGAAGACAGCUCUGGUUCAAGUGUUUCUGUGCUCCCCCUAUCACCUCUGUUCCUGAGGUUAUCGCAGAUUAGAAGG